GAGAGGGUGCAAGCGUUAAUCGGAGUUACUGGGCGUAAAGGGCGCGUAGGCGGUUGUUUAAGUGAGAUGUGAAAUCCCUGGGCUUAACCUAGGAACUGCAUCUCAUACUGGGCAACUAGAGUAUUGUAGAGGGUAGUGGAAUUUCCGGUGUAGCGGUGAAAUGCGUAGAGAUCGGAAGGAACACCAGUGGCGAAGGCGGCUACCUGGACAAAUACUGACGCUGAGGCGCGAAAGCGUGGGGAGCAAACAGGGAUUAGAUACCCUGGUAGUCCACGCUGUAAACGAUGAAAACUAGAUGUUGGGCAGCAUGACUGUUUAGUAUCGAAGCUAACGCGAUAAGUUCUCCGCCUGGGAGUACGACCGCAAGGUUA
rnacentral:rRNA from 1 species